CUUAGAAUUUCGGGCUAUAAACAAUAUAAAAUAUAAUUUAAAAAUUGAUGGUCCCACCUAUUGGUUAUGAUAUAAAGUAUAAAAAUGAUCACUUACAUAAUAAGUUAUUUCAUGUUUUCCAAUCAUGUUACUUAUUCCCACAGAGAUUCUUUGAGGAGCUGGAAGGCAAACUUGGUUCAUGCAGACGUAAGGCACUGAUAUUUUCAACUGGGGUGCUCUCCACUGGGUGCCUAUUAAAUGCUCAGCACUUUGAAGGAUACCAGAGAAGUAAAGGCCUGGCCCCUGACUUUAAGGAGCAUUUUAUCCAGUUGGGUGGGACGCUACUGCAGACUGCUUUCAAGUCAAGAGCUGCCUCAUCUUCCAAAGUGGGAGUUCCCAGCAUCAGUCUUGUGGGGGUGGAAGCUUAAUCCGCCUCCUUCCAAAAACUGAAAGAGCUCUGUCCACCCUUGAGUAACUAGAAGCGCGCCUUUGCUCAAGUUGAGAGCUGAUAUCAGGACAGAAACAUGUACUGCCAUGUAGAAGGGUAAAGAGUAGCGAAAAUACUAGAAAUUCCACCUUAAAGUGGCCAGGUUUUUAAUAAUUAAGGUACCAAUAAAUAUAAAGAAUAUAAAAUGGU